rnacentral:rRNA from 1 species
AGCAGCCGCGGUAACGACCGGCGGCCCGAGUGGUGAUCGUGAUUAUUGGGUCUAAGGGUCCGUAGCCGGUUGGUCAGUCCUCCGGGAAAUCUGAUAGCUCAACUAUUAGGCUUUCGGGGGAUACUGCCAGACUUGGAACCGGGAGAGGUAAGAGGUACUACAGGGGUAGGAGUGAAAUCUUGUAAUCCCUGUGGGACCACCUGUGGCGAAGGCGUCUUACCAGAACGGGUUCGACGGUGAGGGACGAAAGCUGGGGGCACGAACCGGAUUAGAUACCCGGGUAGUCCCAGCCGUAAACGAUGCUCGCUAGGUGUCAGGCAUGGCGCGACCGUGUCUGGUGCCGCAGGGAAGCCGUGAAGCGAGCCACCUGGGAAGUACGGCCGCAAGGCUGAAACUUAAAGGAAUUGGCGGGGGAGCACAACAACGGGUGGAGCCCUGCGGUUUAAUUGGACUCAACGCCGGACAACUCACCGGGGGCGACAGCAAUAUGUAGGCCAAGCUGAAGACUUUGCCUGAAUCGCUGAGGAGUGGUGCAUGG